rnacentral:lncRNA from 1 species
AAUCUAAUGGGAAUAAAUUUGUAUAGAGAGAUUCGAACAUGGGGAAUGACUAGUUGCUUAAGCGUUCACAUUAAGGUCACACAAUCAAUUAUCUCCUAAAUGUAUCAUCUCUAUUUCUAAUAUCUGAACACACAAAGAAACUAUAAUCUCCUCCUUCACCUUAUCGGUCUCCUCUUUAUAGCAAUUCAGUCAUAUCAAUAACUGCUAUUUCUACCAAUAUAUUCACCUUCAUAAUCUCCAACUGUAAUACUAUGCCUUCACAGCUUUCAGCAUACAAUUACCUUCAUUCCAAUCACCGGAAUUCUUCACACAGAACUGCCAUUCACAUUACGGUGUUUCACACAAACAUAGACUCAUUCUCUUUGCUGAACUACAAUCAGAUUUCAGCAUUCAAUCUUUCUUCUUCUCAAAUAAUACUAAUCACAUUUCUAUUCCAUAAUUCACUUCACAAUAUUAAAAAACUCUCAAUCUUUUUAUUCAAAGAAAAUAACAAACAAAAGAAAAGAGGUAGCACCAAGCUUAUUCCGGCUCAUACUAUCACAACGAUGGCCCUCAGCUCAUGACUAUCACAGUCUGAUACCUUAAUUAACUUCUACAACUUCUAUAUACUUUUCUCUGAUUCUCCAGAUUCUAACCACAAUUCUGUAAUUAACUACUUUUAAGAACUAAAUCACUCAUCCUUCCUCUUGAAUUUCUUAUUAUAUGGACUAUUAAUAUAUUUUACUAAUAUCUUUCAAA